rnacentral:rRNA from 1 species
UGGGGAAUAUUGGACAAUGGGCGCAAGCCUGAUCCAGCCAUGCCGCGUGAGUGAUGAAGGCCCUAGGGUUGUAAAGCUCUUUCACCGGUGAAGAUAAUGACGGUAACCGGAGAAGAAGCCCCGGCUAACUUCGUGCCAGCAGCCGCGGUAAUACGAAGGGGGCUAGCGUUGUUCGGAUUUACUGGGCGUAAAGCGCACGUAGGCGGACUUUUAAGUCAGGGGUGAAAUCCCGGGGCUCAACCCCGGAACUGCCUUUGAUACUGGAAGUCUUGAGUAUGGUAGAGGUGAGUGAAAUUCCGGGUGUAGAGGUGAAAUGCGUAGAUAUUCGGAGGAACACCAGUGGCGAAGGCGGCUCACUGGACCAUUACUGACGCUGGGGUGCGAAAGCGGGGGGAGCAAACAGG